UACGUAGGGGGCAAGCGUUGUCCGGAAUCAUUGGGCGUAAAGAGCGUGUAGGCGGCCCGAUAAGUCCGCUGUGAAAGUCCAGGGCUCAACCCUGGGAUGCCGGUGGAUACUGUCGGGCUCGAGUCCGGAAGAGGAGUGUGGAAUUCCUGGUGUAGCGGUGAAAUGCGCAGAUAUCAGGAGGAACACCGAUGGCGAAGGCAGGUCUCUGGGCCAUAACUGACGCUGAGAAGCGAAAGCAUGGGGAGCGAACAGG
rnacentral:rRNA from 1 species